UGUUGAGGAUGGUGAUGAGGAUGAUGGUGAUGAUGAUGAUGAUGAAUUAUGAUUAAUGACCCAUCAACAAUUAUCGUCAUCUUCAUCGUCCUCAUCAAUAAUCAUCAUCGUCGUCGUCGUCAUUAUCAUCAUCAUCAUCCUUAUCAUUAUUA
rnacentral:pre_miRNA from 1 species